GUCUGUCUGUCCCCACUUGGCUCCCGUGGAAUGAAAACUUUGGCUGUCUGAAGCACAGGAGCUGGAGCAGGUAGAAAAAGCAAAAUUUAUCAUAAAACUUUGGCCAAGAAGUUGCACUUCUCCUAGAAGGAACAUUUCUCCCAGUAUCGGAAGUAUAUAUUUGUGCCUUAUGAAUCACACUUCUUGAACUUCAUCAAAAGAAGGGGAAAAAAAGGUAAUCUGAAAAACAUGUACCAGGGAGGGAGUCUGGCAUUAUCACCCACGGCUGUCUCGAACAGCAGCCCUCUACUCCCCUGUACUGUUCAUUUCUGGAGCAGGUUUGAAUUCAGCGACAUAGUGUAAGACAUUUUUAAAAGUCUUCAUUACAGUGCUGAACAAUUCCCACCUCCUCCUCUUCUCCUUUGCACCUUUUUCUUUUUUCUCUCCAAGUCUUGCUGCAGGAGGUCAAGGAGCAGAAUUACAUCAACUCCCUUUUCUUCCUGUCCACGUCAGUCUCCUGAGCUUCAGACACUGUUUUUGCCAAGGCUGUUGGAAACUGGAAAAGGCCUGAACUUGGCAAAGCUCUGAAGUUUCUGCAAAAGCCUGAAGUCACUCUGAGGCAUUCAGUAUGGUGCGGGGACAUCUCCUCCCUCUGCUCCCAGAGACGGUGUGUGUGACUUCCCAGGCCAUGUCUUCCCAUGGGCUCCCCAAUUUUGCUCAUCUCAGUGCUGUGGAGGAGGGAUGGGACAGAAGGCAGAACAGCAUUCUGCUGCUGGAGGGUACAGUGGAGACCCGUCUGCACCUCUGUAGGUAUUCAAGACAAUCUUGGAGCUCCUACAUGACAUGAUGGAAGUGGCAGCAGGACUGAGACACCAUGUCAUCACCAACAGAACUUCACAUUUCAUCUGUUACACCUUAAAAAGAAAAAGGAAUGAAAACCAUAAAGGAGGCAGACUGGGGCAGCAGGACAGAUGGAAAUAACCAGCAGUGACUGUGUGGCUUCGGCUCUCUCUUUCCCUGAGCUUUGAAGCUGGAAGGUCAUCUUCAUGAACCAUCACUAGAACUAUCUACAUCCCAGAUCAAGUUGUGCCCAGCACCGUCCAGGCUGCUGCCACAAGAUGUGCACAGGCUUUCCCUACGCUGCAGCAGCCCCAGAAUGCUAAGCUGAUUUCUGAGACAGCUGAAAAUAAAUCAGAGCAGGCCUGAGGCUUCUCUACUCAACUUCAGUGCUCCUACUGGCUAGCUGGGCUCCUUUUC
ensembl:lncRNA